rnacentral:rRNA from 1 species
GACGAACGCUGGCGGCGUGCCUAAUACGUGCGAGUAGAACGCUGAAGAGAGGAGCUUGCUCUUCUUGGAUGAGUUGCGAACGGGUGAGUAACGCGUAGGUAACCUGCCUUGUAGCGGGGGAUAACUAUUGGAAACGAUAGCUAAUACCGCAUAACAAUGGAUGACACAUGUCAUUUAUUUGAAAGGGGCAAUUGCUCCACUACAAGAUGGACCUGCGUUGUAUUAGCUAGUAGGUGAGGUAAUGGCUCACCUAGGCGACGAUACAUAGCCGACCUGAGAGGGUGAUCGGCCACACUGGGACUGAGACACGGCCCAGACUCCUACGGGAGGCAGCAGUAGGGAAUCUUCGGCAAUGGGGGCAACCCUGACCGAGCAACGCCGCGUGAGUGAAGAAGGGUUUCGGAUCGUAAAGCUCUGUUGUAAGUCAAGAACGGGUGUGAGAGUGGAAAGUUCACACUGUGACGGUAGCUUACCAGAAAGGGACGGCUAACUACGUG